GACGAACGCUGGCGGCGUGCUUAACACAUGCAAGUCGAACGGUGAAGCGCUUUCCUUUUUGGUUGGUGUGGAUGAGUGGCGAACGGGUGAGUAACACGUGAGUAACCUGCCCCCUUCUUCUGGAUAACCGCAUGAAAGUGUGGCUAAUACGGGAUAUUCUGCGCCUGCUGCAUGGUGGGUGUGGGAAAGAUUGUGCCUUUGGGUGUUUUCGGUGGGGGAUGGGCUCGCGGCCUAUCAGCUUGUUGGUGGGGUGAUGGCCUACCAAGGCGGUGACGGGUAGCCGGCCUGAGAGGGUGGACGGUCACACUGGGACUGAGACACGGCCCAGACUCCUACGGGAGGCAGCAGUGGGGAAUAUUGCACAAUGGGCGCAAGCCUGAUGCAGCGACGCCGCGCGAGGGAUGGAGGCCUUCGGGUUGUGAACCUCUUUCGCCAGUGAAGCAGGCCUGCUCCUUGUGGGUGGGUUGACGGUAGCUGGAUAAGAAGCGCCGGCUAACUACGUG
rnacentral:rRNA from 1 species